GCCUUUACUAGCAGUGGGCUAAGACCUGGGGUUAAGAAGAAAGAACAAAAUUUGAUCCCUGCUCUCUUGGGCAUUCCCACAGAGUGGUUGGACACCGAGAAAGGACCGAGACAGAGAGACGGAGGAGGAAAGUGUGAGAGAGGAAAGGGAAGAGAAGAAAAGGAGAGAGAGGAAAGGGAAGAGAAGAAAAGGAGAACGAGAGGAAAGGGAAGAGAAGAAAAGGAGAGAGAGAGGAAAGGGAAGAAAAGAGAGAGAGGAAGGGGAAGAAAAGAGAGAGAGGAAGGGGAAGAAAAGAGAGAGAGGAAGGGGAAGAGAAGAAAAGGAGAGAGAGAAGAAAGGGAAGAGAAGAAAAGGAGAGAGAGAGAGGAAAGGGAAGAGAAGAAGAGAGAGAGGAAAGGGAAGAGAAGAAGAGAGAGAGGAAAGGGAAGAGAAGAAGAGAGAGAGGAAAGGGAAGAGAAGAAAAGGAAAAGAGAGAGAAAGGAAGAGAAGAAAAGGAGAGAGAGAGGAAAGGGAAGAGAAGAAAAGGAGAGAGAGAGGAAAGGGAAGAGAAGAAAAGGAGAGAGAGAGGAAAGGGAAGAGAAGAAAAGGAGAAAGAGGAAAGGAAGAGAAGAAAAGGAGAGAGAGAGGAAAGGGAAGAAAAGAGAGAGAGGAAGGGGAAGAGAAGAAAAGGAGAGAGAGAAGAAAAGGAGAGAGAGAGGAAAGGGAAGAGAAGAAAAGGAGAGAGAGAGGAAAGGGAAGAGAAGAAGAGAGAGAGGAAAGGGAAGAGAAGAAGAGAGAGAGGAAAGGGAAGAGAAGAAAAGGAGAACGAGAGGAAAGAGAAGAGAAGAAAAGGAGAGAGAGAAAGGAAAAGGAAGAAAAGAAAAGGAGAGAGAGAGGAAAGGGAAGAGAAGAAAAGGAGAGAGAGAGAGGAAAGGGAAGAGAAGAAGAAAGAGAGAGGAAAGGGAAGAGAAGAAAGAGGAGAACGAGAGGAAAGGGAAGAGAAGAAAAGAAGAGAAGAGAGGAAAGGGAAGAGAAGAAAAGGAGAACGAGAGGAAAGGGAAGAGAAGAAAAGGAGAGAGAGAAAGGAAAAGGAAGAAAAGAAAAGGAGAGAGAGAGGAAAGGGAAGAGAAGAAAAGGAGAACGAGAGGAAAGGGAAGAGAAGAAAAGGAGAGAGAGAGGAAAGGGAAGAGAAGAAAAGGAGAGAGAGAGAGGAAAGGGAAGAGAAGAAAAGGAGAGAGAGAGGAAAGGGAAGAGAAGAAAAGGAGAGAGAGAGAGGAAAGGAAGAGAAGAAAAGGAGAGAGAGAGAGGAAAGGGAAGAGAAGAAAAGGAGAGAGAGAGAGGAAAGGGAAGAGAAGAAAAGGAGAACAAGAGGAAAGGGAAGAGAAGAAAAGGAGAGAGAGAGGAAAGGGAAGACAAGAAAAGGAGAACGAGAGAGAGGAAAGGGAAGACAAGAAAAGGAGAGAGAAAGAAUAUGCAUACAGAAAUACGUGGUUAGACCACUUGACCCAAUUUACAGAUUGA
ensembl:lncRNA